rnacentral:lncRNA from 1 species
UUUUUUUAGAUUUUAUUUAUUUAUUUGACAGAGAGAGAGAGAGAGAGAGAGAGAGAGAGAGAGAGAGAGAGAGAAUAAGCAGGGGGAGCAGCAGAGGGAGAGGGAGAAGCAGGCUUCCUGCCAAAGAGGGAUCCUGGCAUGGGGCUCCAUCCCAAGACCCUGAGAUCAUGAUCUGAGCGGAAGGCAGAUGAUUGACUGAGCCACCCAGGUGCCCCAGUACUUACUUUAAAACAUUAAAAAAAAUUUUUUUAAAGCAGAUGGAAUAUACCUAUCUUUACAAAUUCCCUCCUCCCUUGUUUUUCUUAGUUUUCUUCCUCCUUCCCUUCCUAGGGGUAGUUACACCCUUUACAGUAAAGGGUGUAACACCCCUUAGCACACUCCCCAGGGUUCAAGGUUUCUAACCUGUUCAACUUCCCUUUUACAGGUGUAGUCUACUACUGCUCUGCAAGCUCGGCUACAAGUUGGAAUCACACAGAAGGGUUGAACAACACUGAUUCCUGGUCCCACUCCCAGAGAUCCUGGCUUCGUUGGUCUGGGUCCCGCCCGGGGACUAGUAAAGUGCUCCAGGUGAAUGUCAGGUGCAGCCACGGUUGAGAAUCAUCACAUCUAGUCCCUCUCAUGGGGGUCUUUAGAAUCCUCCCCUUCUGAGUACACUCCCCAAACUCCUUGGAACUUUCCAUACGUCUCCUUAAAUUUACAAAGACCCGGCUUUUGCUUGAUGAUUCAGAGUUUUCAUAACGCUGCCCACGGAAGGCAAUGUCUUAAAAUCAUGAUUUUAUGGUUCUUUGGAGUUUGCAAAGCCAUUUCUCACACAUGAUUUCUCGGACUCCUCCCUACUUCCUUGGGAGGUGGGAAUUCAGGGUCAGGAGCAGGUGAUGGCAGCUGGAGCAGCUGUCUGCAAAGUUAGGGCCAGGGCGGCCACAGUGAGCAAAACAAAUAAAACAACAAAGACAAAACAAGACUAACAGAACAAAAUAGAGCAAAAUGAACAAAAACAACAAAACCCUUCAAAAACAGGAUGCCCAGUUAAAUUGGAAUUCCAGGUAAACAGUAAUUUUUAAAUAUAAGUAUAUUCCACGCAAUAUUUGGGACAUACUUACGCUUAAAAAAAUUGUUCUGAGAUUCUAACUGACCUAGGCACCCUGUAUUUUACUGGGCAUCUGUACACUCAGAACCUGUUCCUUUUCUGAGGCUCAGGCUGGUGGCUAUGCCAUUCUCUUGCCUUCCUGUGAUCUCCUAGCGACUCGUCAGCUUGAGCUCCUGCCCACGUUUCUCCUCAUUUCUGCAUAGGUAGCCAUUAUCCUCAGAAAGAGCCUCUUCUGGAUAUUAGAAUCCACUCACACUUCCUUUUUCCCCCUUUUCCUUUCUCCUUCUGUGGCCUAAAUUAUUUAUAAGUUUAGGCUGGUUAAAAAAAAAAAAAAAACCACAAUCAGACAUUUAUUCAGUACUUACUGUGUGCCAGGCAUUGCGCUAAGUGCUUUGCAUUCACUAUUUUAUUUCCUCCUUUCAUGGCUCUUGGAGGUUGAUACCAUUUCCUAGGUACCUAUUUAGGACUAUUUGCAUUUUAAUAUGGAAAAAAGGUUUAUGGAGGUUAAGAGAUUCUGUAAGGUCAUACAACUUGGAAGCUGCCAAAGCUAGGAUUGGAACAGGGCUGUCUGACUCCAGACUCUUUGUUCUUAACUAGCAUGCUAGGAAAACAAGGUGGUUCUAGGAGCCUUGUGGAGUUGCUAGUCAAGUCUUCUAGCUUGUUCAGCUUAGCUUUCUGAAGCCCCUGGCAUUUGGAACAACCCCUGGAUAGACCUCUUCCGUGCCAUGUGGGUGGCCCGAUAGAUUAAGUGUUGACAAAAUAGCAAUCCAUAAGAUGAAUAUACAUUUUUGGAAACCUUAUUUUUAACCCUGAGAAAGAGGAGGCUUUUGAAUAAAGACUUCAGUGGCUGUUGCCAGCCAAGUAAAUGCUAAAUCAACCCAGAGACAAUGUUCUUUAAACACGUUUGCUGAGGCUAAGGGGCAAAUAGUUUACACUGAUUCUGGGUAGCUGGCCACAAAUGUCAUGUGUCAGAGAGGCUUUUUUUUCAAGUGUUCCAUAUCUUUUUUGGUAUAAGCUGCCCCUGUGCUUUAGCAGUCUGUAAAUAUUUGUGCAAUUAAUGUAUGCUGGCAAAUGUCUCAAGAGGAAAGCAGGCUUCAUAAUGCUAAGCAAAAUUGUAAUUAGCAACACAAAAGAAAAAGAAUUUGUCUCUUUCAUCUCAGUGCUUAAAAACUGUCAGUAUUUAAUGCAGCUGGAGGCUUCAGAAAAGAUAAUUUGCAAAAGCUGGUUUUCCUAAGCUUUUAAGUUGGUCCUUUACCCUAGUAUAAAAAACAUUCACUUGAAAAUUAUUUUUU